rnacentral:tRNA from 1 species
GGGGAGUUAGGCUAGCUUGGUAGGCUUCAAGCUUUGGGAGCUUGCGACCCGCGUUCAAAUCGCGGACUCCCCA